ensembl:lncRNA
UGACCUCUCCCAGGUGGGCACAGAACUCCCAGGCUCAGGACUCACCGUGGACUCCAGGGCUCCGCAGGCAUUCAGGGGAAAGGGGUGGGGAUGCAGGAAGGAGGCUCAGCCCAGAGGGCGGGGCCAAGAUCCUGAUUGGAGGAAAUCAAGGUGAGCGCGCUGCUACAAACUGGGCCCCUAUUUCUAGUUGGUGGCCAAACAUUUUGCCUGGGGCUGGGCCUGGGGCUGGGCCCGGGGCUGGGCCCGGGGCUGGGCCUGGGGCUUUGCCCGGGGCUGGGUCUAGGGCUGGGUCCAGGGCUGGGCCGCGGACUGGGCCUCGGACUGGGCCUCGGACUGGGCCUCGGACUGGGCCUCGGACUUGGCCUCGGAUUGGGCCGAGGAUUGGGCAGAGGCACGGGCCUACUGAUGGGCCUCCUGCUCGUGCCAGGUCGCCGCCGAGGUCUGCUUUGGCGGUUUCCACAUUCACGCAUCAGCCCGUUCACUGCGUCCGGGAGAAAACAGCUGGCGAGGCUCGGUUCCCCCCCACUCUCCGCCGGGAAGAGCAUGGCUUCGGGCGGCCCUGCGCAGAGAACGCAGAUGUGGACCCUCGGAAAGGAUGGUGACAGACAACUCUAAUACCAGCCCUUGGCAGGCAGAGGCAGGAGGAUCACUGCAAGUACAAGGGCAGCUUGUGCUCCAGAGCGAGGUCACAGCGACCUGAACCACACAGAAGGCACAGCCUCAAAAACAAAGAUUCGCACAGCCCUUAUCACCAC